AGCUGCAGAAGAAGCACCGGCUAACUCCGUGCCAGCAGCCGCGGUAAUACGGAGGGUGCGAGCGUUAAUCGGAAUUACUGGGCGUAAAGCGCAUGCAGGUGGUUUGUUAAGUCAGAUGUGAAAGCCCGGGGCUCAACCUCGGAAUUGCAUUUGAAACUGGCAAACUAGAGUACUGUAGAGGGGGUAGAAGUUUCAGGUGUAGCGGUGAAAUGCGUAGAGAUCUGAAGGAAUACCGGUGGCGAAGGCGGCCCCCUGGACACGAUACUGACACUCAGAUGCGAAAGCGUGGGGAGCAAACAGGAUUAGAUCCCUGGUAG
rnacentral:rRNA from 1 species